rnacentral:lncRNA from 1 species
ACUCACUCAGGGUCACACGGCAAGUAAAUGGCAGAGUCCAGCUUCCAAUUCCAAAACCCAGCAGACUUCCUUUUCUCUGCUGGGCUCACCUCCCCAUUCCAAUCUGUGUAUGUAGAGGGGAAGGAUAAGGAUUCCAAGACAGGGAAGCUCACCUUGUAUUUCCAGGACCACUGAUGGGCUUUAGGCCUCAGAAGGGAAAGGAAGAGCAGUCUCCAAUUGCUCAAAGCAGGAAUUUGUGAACACAGAGAGAUCUUAUUUACUCAUGGGAUAAUUCCCAAAAGGAUUUAGUCUUUUUUACGUUUAAAAAAUGAAAGUCAAAAAUGAAGUGGAAAAUGGAAGGAGACAUUUUGGUCGUGGGGCGGGGGGAGUUGAGAGCCUUCUGUUGGAGACCCCGGAAGCAGGGCAAGGCAGGGGGUGGGAGGCAUACCCCAGGCUGGGAGGCCAGGACUGGUGAACAGGGGGCAUCUCUGCUCAGGACCAGCACCCUCUGCCCUCGGGCAGCAGCCAGCAGUGGCUGACACCAGCCAGGAGCCGGGCAGAGGCCAGACAGGUAAGGAGUGUGGCCAGGCUCUUCUGAAUCCUGGGGACAUCCUCACCUUGGGUGAGGUGCCACACUCCUGCUCUCGGGGUCAUCUUCAGCCUCAGCAAGUGGAAAAUCGCCUAACCCCACAGGCAUGUCACAAAGCCUAGGGCCUUGAGUUUCACCCCAGACUUGGCAGCUCAGGGGGUUAGAGAAUGUAAGGGGGACAGCGGGAGGGGUGGGGAUCCCUGGGCAGUAGCUGUGGCCAAGCACUCCCCACCACCACCCCCAUGAACAACAGGACCCUGGGACUGCAAGCAGAGCGAGUUGGGGUCAGAUGCGAACAGAUGGGUGAUGUACAAAGUAAGUUAACCUCUCUGACUGUCACCUUCUGAAUCUAAAAACCUAAAUAACUAAUCCUACCCUGUGAGGUGACAUACACAGACAGCCAGAAUCCUAGCAAGUGCUUAGAACAGGUGA